AAAGACUUAGGUUAAUAAGACCAUAAGCCUUCAAAGCUUAAAGAGUAGAUUAGAUCUCUACAGUCUUUG
rnacentral:tRNA from 1 species